UUUCUGUCAUUUGUGUUUUUAGGGUCAUCUGGACAGUCCCUCGCCGCACCUCUGCUGAACCUGUGCUCCAGAAAGAGGUCAGGCUCGGCUCCUGUUGAUCUUAGUAUGUUGCAGAGGCAGCUCCUCUCAGGCCACUAUGAGAGUCUGGACACCUUUCAUUCAGACAUGCUGAAGGUGUUCCAUUGCGCUGAGAAAUACUACGGUUGCGAGUCCUCAGUGGGUCGUAACGUAAGGCAGCUGAGGGAAGUGUACCAUAGUGCUCAUCGGGAGGCCUUAACUCAGAUCGGCAGUUUCCUGUGAGUGACAAAAAAAAAAAAACACAUCAGCAGCCUCUAUCAGGGCAUUGCUGUGACCAAUCCCA